rnacentral:lncRNA from 1 species
UUGCCGCCCGAGAUGGCACGGCCGCCUGUACUGGUUGUGAGGGGGAGAAUGCCGAAGGCUACAGUAUCACUGUUGUGCUCGUGUCAACGACCAGCUCCAAUUUUGGUGGGUUCUUGCACAGUUGGCCCAAGGCUCUCUUCGGUGAUUCGGUCCAGCCCACAUGGGCCUGGUAUUCCACGAGGUUAUUUUAAUAUCGAAGAAAAUCGCGCAGGUGGAGUUGCUGGCUUCGUCGAGCUGGAUGAUCCGGACGAGUCCAUCCACACAACACACACGGUAAUGUUUUGUACUACCUCCUGGUUCAAUAACCAUACUUUGAAGAUGAGACCNNNNNNNNNNAAAGAAAAUCGCACAGGUGGAGUUGCUGGCUUCGUCGAGCUAGAUGAUCCGGACGAGUCCAUCCACACAACACACACGGUAACGUUUUGUACUACCUCCUGGUUCAAUAACCAUACUUUGAAGAUGAGACCUUCUCAGGCUAACAAGUAAUACGGAUCCUUCUAGACAGAGAAAACCAUCUAGUACAGUCAGAGAUCCUGAUGCUUCCAAAUCCCCGGAUGUCUCUCGGGUUUCAUCUAC